CCCUUAGAUGUUCUGGGCCGCACGCGCGCUACACUGACGAAUGCAACGAGCUUAUAACCUUGGCCGAAAGGUCUGGGUAAUCUCCAAAUUUCGUCGUGAUGGGGAUAGAUUAUUGCAAUUAUUAAUCUUCAACGAGGAAUGCCUAGUAAGCGCAAGUCAUCAGCUUGCGUUGAUUACGUCCCUGCCCUUUGUACACACCGCCCGUCGCUCCUACCGAUUGAAUGGUCCGGUGAAGCGUUCGGACCGUGGCCUUUGGACGGUUCGCCGCCGGCGCUGUCGCUGGAAGAUCUUUAAACCUUAUCAUUUAGAGGAAGGAGAAGUCGUAACA
rnacentral:rRNA from 1 species